rnacentral:rRNA from 1 species
GACGAAUGCUGGCUGCGUGCUUAACACAUGCAAGUCGAACGGUGAAGGAGGGCUUGCCCUCCGGAUCAGUGGCGAACGGGUGAGUAACACGUGGGCAACCUGCCCCUCACUCUGGGAUAACGCCGGGAAACCGGCGCUAAUACCGGAUACGACCAGGCGCGACAUCUCGCCUGGUGGAAAGAAUUUCGGUGAGGGAUGGGCCCGCGGCCUAUCAGCUUGGUGGUGGGGUAACGGCCCACCAAGGCGACGACGGGUAGCCGGCCUGAGAGGGCGACCGGCCACACAGGGACUGAGACACGGCCCAGACUCCUACGGGAGGCAGCAGUGGGGAAUAUUGCGCAAUGGGCGAAAGCCUGACGCAGCGACGCAGCGUGAGGGACGAAGGCCUUCGGGUUGUAAACCUCUUUCAGCGGCGACGAAGCGAAAGUGACGGUACCCGCAGAAGAAGCACCGGCUAACUACGUGCCAGCAGCCGCCGUAA